rnacentral:lncRNA from 1 species
UGAGGCAUCCAAAUGGGGAAGGAAGAAAUAAAAGUAUGUCCCAACACAGAAGACAUAACACAUAUGUAGAAAACCCUGAAGAUGUCACACAAAAGUGUUGGAACUAAUAAUUUCAGUAAAAUUGCAGAAUAUAAGGGUAACAUCCCAAAGGAAAUUGAAAACACAAUUCCAAGGCAUCACACUUGCUGAUUUCAACUAUGAAAAGCCAGGAUAUCAAGACACCAUGGUACUGGCAAGAAAACAGGCACAUAGUCCAGUAGAGCUGAGCUGAGAGCCCAGACUUCAACCCACACAUGUGGUCAAGUCAUGUUUGGGGGCCAGAAGCGCAUGAGAGGGCAAGGAAAGACUGGGCACCCACACACAGAAGGAUGAAAUUGGACCCUUAUUUUAUGUUCCAUACACAGAAAGGAACUUGAAAUGGAAGACAGAGUUAAAUAUUUAUCAGCCCUGAAACUCUCAGAAGAAAACCGAGGUGAAAUCUCUUGAUUUGGGUAUUAGCAAUGAUUUUUUGGACAUAACACCAACAGGAUGGGCAACAGAAGAAAACUAAACAAGCAGGGCUACAAAAGCAAAGGAAUCCAUCCAUAAAAUGAAAGGGUAAUGACCAAAGUGGGGGACAUAUUUACAAAGCAUAUCUGACAGGAGUUAAGAUGUCUCUAAUAGUGGGGAAAAGGCCUGCCUUGGCAUUUUCCCAAAG